AUGCAAGUCGAAUGGAAUGCCAAAAUAUUCCAUGGCAAACUGCUCAAUAACACGUGAUCAACUUACCCUAUGGAAAACAAUAACCUCUGGAAACGGAGGAUAAUGGUUUAUAGUUGAAAAGGCUUGGAAAAGUUUUUCAAUAAAAGGGAAUAAUAAAAAUGGUUAUUAUUUUGCCAUAGGAUAGGAUUGCGGUCGAUUAUGGCUGUUGGUGAGGUAAUGGCUCACCAAACCAAUAAUCGAUAGGGGCCGUGAGAGCGGGAGCCCCGAGAUGGGUACUGAGACAACGACCCAGGCCUUACGAGGCGCAGCAGGCGCGAAAACUCCGCAAUACACGAAAGUGUGACGGGGUUACCCAAAGUGCUUAAUAUUUAAGCUGUGGUAAGUGUGUAAUGUACCUUACUAGAAAGGAGAGGGCAAGGCUGGUGCCAGCCGCCGCGGUAAAACCAGCUCUUCAAGUGGUCGGGAUAUUUAUUGGGCUUAAAGUGUCCGUAGCUUGUAUAAUAAGUUCCUGGUAAAAUCUAAUAGCUUAACUAUUAGUAUGCUAGGAAUACUGUUAUACUAGAGGGCGGGAGAGGUUUGAGGUACUUCAGGGGUAGGGGUGAAAUCCUAUAAUCCUUGAAGGACCACCAGUGGCGAAGGCGUCAGACUGGAACGCGCCUGACAGUGAGGGACGAAAGCCAGGGGAGCGAACCGGAUUAGAUACCCGGGUAGUCCUGGCCGUAAACGAUGCACACUAGGUGUUGGUAUGGCUAUGAGCCAUAUCAGUGCCGAAGGGAAACCAUUAAGUGUGCCGCCUGGGAAGUACGGUCGCAAGGCUAAAACUUAAAGGAAUUGGCGGGGGAGCACCACAAGGGGUGAAGCCUGCGGUUC
rnacentral:rRNA from 1 species